UACGUAGGGCGCAAGCGUUGUCCGGAAUUAUUGGGCGUAAAGAGCUCGUAGGCGGCUUGUCACGUCGGGUGUGAAAGCCCGGGGCUUAACCCCGGGUCUGCAUUCGAUACGGGCUAGCUAGAGUGUGGUAGGGGAGAUCGGAAUUCCUGGUGUAGCGGUGAAAUGCGCAGAUAUCAGGAGGAACACCGGUGGCGAAGGCGGAUCUCUGGGCCGAUACUGACGCUGAGGAGCGAAAGGCGUGGGGAGCGAACAGG
rnacentral:rRNA from 1 species